rnacentral:lncRNA from 1 species
UAGGAUAUUUUAAAGGUCCUGGAACACAAGACUGGAACCCUGGAAGGAUCAGAUUGUCUCAUUUUACCAGAAGAGAGACUGAGGCACAAGAGGAGACCAAGCAUGGCUCCAGGGACGCUACCCUGAACACUCUGCGGCUUCUCUGAGAAACCCUAUCGAAGGGGAUGUGGAAUCCCAGAGCUACUCUUGCUAUCAACUCGCCGCAUGACCUUGGGAAAAUCAUUUCACCUGGUUCAGCAAUGAUUUACUGAGCUAUUGAAGGCCUUACUUUCCAGAUCCAGAUCCUUGUGCAUACAACUGACUUGUGUGGGUGAGGCUUGCAGAAAAAAUCAGCUAGAACAGCCUUGGGGGUAGUGGCAAGGUGGCCAGAGCAAUUGACUGGGAGCUGGGAACAGGAAUGAAGAGGAAGAGCUGAUAAGAAACAUGCCCAGAGCAGAUUUGAUGCUACUGCCAAUGUACCUGAAUAAGAAGACAACUCUUUCUGGAAAAAGGGAAAACUUGAAGGGCUAUUGAAGGCCGCUAGAAAGAUGGAGUUUCACUCUUGUCGCCCAGGAUGGAGUACAAUGGCAUGAUCUUGGCUCACUGCAACCUCUGCUUCCAGGGUUCAAGUGAUUCUCCUGCCUCAGCCUCCUGAGUAGGUGGGCUUAUAGGUGCCCGCCAUGAUGCCCAGCUAAUUUUUGUUUCAUUAGUACAAAUAGGGUUUCACUAUGUCGGCCAGGCUUGUCUCGAAUUCCUGACCUCAGGUGAUCUGCCCGCCUCGGCCUCCCAAAGUGCUGGGAUUACAGGUGUGAACCACCGUGCCCGGUUUGAGUAACCUUUAAGUAAGAAAGUGCCUUUUGGGUUGAGUUUAACAAUUUCCAUGGUAGAGAGUCUCUUCUGCUAUAUGCUGUUUACUUAGCUUCUGCCUAGUAUAUGCAGCAGCAGAAAAUGGUUUCCCUUGUUGUAGGUCUAAUGAGAUUUAGAACACUUUGGGUCCUCAGAUAUAGUGAGCAAGAUUUUCACUUCAUAGAUGAAGGAACUGCAGCCUAAAGAAUUGGGAAGAAAAGGUUUAUCCAGGCUUGCUGUGCAUUCCUUCCUUUCUCUGGGAAUUCCCUUGGAGAAGAAAUCUGGCUGAUCAAAUCUCCUUGUAAACAUGCUGUGAAGACUCUGGGGAAAACCACUAAUGAUAUUUGUUAGUGGCAGUCUUUAUCUUUGAGAGACUUUUAGCAGCAUGAACCUUACCCCCGUAGUAGAAUUGUAUAUGGUAAACAAACCUGGAAUCUAAGGAUUCAUGGGUAAUGGCUUCUUGAAAAGUGUCAAGUAAGCUAUGUAACUAUGGCAGGAGAUGGAACUACUUCAGGGUUAAAAAAGCUGGCUUUCAUUUCGUGCAAGUAAUGUACUUGUGUACAUCUUUUGGAGAACCAUAUGUUAAAUCCGAAUCAGACCAAGUCCUAAUGUGGUAAGAAAAGGGCUGUGGAGUAGUAUUGGCAGUCCUGGGCUUUUCCCUAUGUUCCCUGUACCUUGUGAUUACUUAUAGCUUUGACAUUAUUAGUAAAGUUUGAUACUUGGUAAAAUAUUUUAUUCUUGUGGGUCUAAUUUGAAAAUCUAGCCCUUGUGUUAUCUCCAACAGAUACUGCCUGAUCCAAGAUCACAAAGUUGGGCAGCAAUGAAAGAUCUAAUCUCAGACCUCUUCUCUCCUGUAUCCCAAAC